ACUCCUACGGGAGGCAGCAGUGGGGAAUCUUAGACAAUGGGCGCAAGCCUGAUCUAGCCGAUGCCGCGUGAUUCGGAUGAAGGCCUUAGGUUGUAAAGAUCUUUCAGAAUGGGAAGAUAAUGACGGUACCCAUCAGUAAGAAGCCCCGGCUUAACUCCGUGCCAGCAGCCGCGGUAAUACGGAGGGGGCUAGCGUUAUUCGGAAUUACUGGGCGUAAAGCGCACGUAGGCGGAUCAGAAAGUCAGAGGUGAAAUCCCAGGGCUCAACCCUUGGGAACUGCCUUUGAAACUCCUGGUCUUGAGUUCGAGAGAGGUGAGUGGAAUUCCGAGUGUAGAGGUGAAAUUCGUAGAUAUUCGGAGGAACACCAGUGGCGAAGGCGGCUCACUGGCUCGAUACUGACGCUGAGGUGCGAAAGCGUGGGGAGCAAAACAGGAUUAGAUACCCUGGUAGCUACGAGU
rnacentral:rRNA from 1 species